rnacentral:rRNA from 1 species
ACGCUCGACACCUACGAGGAGGCAGCAGUGGGGAAUAUUGCACAAUGGGGAAACCCUGAUGCAGCAACGCCGCGUGAAGGAAGACGGUUUUCGGAUUGUAAACUUCUGUUCUUAGUGAAGAUAGUGACGGUAGCUAAGGAGCAAGCCACGGCUAACUACGUGCCAGCAGCCACGGUAAUCUGAGCGGCUGGCAAGGC